rnacentral:rRNA from 1 species
UACGUAGGGUGCGAGCGUUGUCCGGACUUACUGGGCGUAAAGAGCUCGUAGGUGGUUUGUCGCGUUGUUCGUGAAAACUCACAGCUCAACUGUGGGCGUGCGGGCGAUACGGGCAGACUGGAGUACUGCAGGGGAGACUGGAAUUCCUGGUGUAGCGGUGGAAUGCGCAGAUAUCAGGAGGAACACCGGUGGCGAAGGCGGGUCUCUGGGCCGUAACUGACGCUGAGGAGCGAAAGCAUGGGGAGCGAACAGG